UGGACCUGUCGUGAUGGAGCUGGUGCAGAGUGGAAGUGACCCAUGCCGGACUUCUGGAGACAUGUUAGUGCCACCACCAGUAACCUCUGGACGGCAGACCAUAAACCUGUCUCCAGCCUCCAACUAAACCGGUGGUUGCUGUUGAAAGUUAAACACAGAAUGAAAUAUGUUCCAUCAGACGGCGGAGGGGGAUUGUGUAAUUCAGGUGAGC